AGUUUGAUCCUGGCUUAGGAUGAACGCUGGCGGCGUGACCUAACACAUUCAAGUACGAACGAACUGUAGAAAUACAGUGAGUGGCGGACGGGUGAGUAACGCGUAAGCAAUCUGCCUUUUGUGUGUGGAAUAACAACCGGAAACAGUUGCUAAUACCGCAUAACGCAGAGAGAUCGCAUGGUCUUUCUGACCAAAGAUUUAUCGCAACGAAGAUGAGCUUGCGUCCGAUUAGAUAGUUGGCGGGGUAACGGCCCCACCAAGUCAACGAUCGGUAGCCGGACUGAGAGGUUGAACGGCCACAUUGGAACUGAGAUACGGUCCAGACUCCUACGGGAGGCAGCAGGUGGGGAAUUAGUUGGGCAAUGGACGAAAGUCUUCGACCCAGCGACGCCGCGUGAGGGAAGAAGGUCUUCGGAUUGUAAACCUUAGUCAACAGGGACGAAGCAAGUGACGGUACCUGUGGAGGAAGCCACGGCUAACUACGUGCCAGCCGCCGC
rnacentral:rRNA from 1 species